UUCUCCCUCUCUUCUCCCUUAAGGUUCCAACGCCCAAAGGUGUUGGACAUCCACAAUCUUGACACCCAAGAGGAGCUUGGGCAUCUCCUUUAUUUGUUGGUUUUCAAUCUUUGAUUGCUUCAUAAUCAAGGGAAGAAAAGCAAGAGAAAAAGAUCAAGAUAAGGAUCAAAAAGUUGAUCACGAUCCAGACUUCGUUCAGAUUUGCAGGAUGAUUGUUCUUAGAAAAGAAAGAUCAAUACCAAAGAGGGCUGUUUUAGACUGAUCCUGAGUGGAUAUCCAUAGAAGUUGGACAC
rnacentral:lncRNA from 1 species